rnacentral:lncRNA from 1 species
AUAGUGAUAAUGAUAAACUUAAUGUAACAUGUUUUCAUUACAAAAUAGAUGUGUGAAAGAACUUAUAUAACUUCAGUUAAAUGACAGGUAAUAAACAUUUCUAUGUGAACUUCACGAAUCCAUUUUUUAAAAAAAAUUUAAAGUGAAUUAGAAAAAAAAAAUCACACUGACAACUUGUACAGUUGGGGUGAAGAGUUUAGCAGGUACAAUCAGAUAAAAAGAAGACAUCACUUUUGAAUUUACUUUUCCGCUAGAAAUUUGGUUUAAAUUAUUCUUUGAUUUUGUUAUUCUUCGGUCACUCAGAUUCCUAUUAGUGGAGAGUCUGUUGCUUUUCUAGAAUAUGAAAGUCUGAUAAAAUGCGAGUAGCAUGAGCAAAUGUGACUUACCGGGAACUGAAAAAGACACAGGAAGACACUCGUUUUUGUGUGGUCCAGCAUAGCCCCUUCUUGGUGUUGAAUAAACAGUGGGUGUAAUAUCUGUUAUGCCUGCAACAACUCCCGUUUGAAAAGCUCAAUAGCAAAUGAACACCAACGAAUAAACAAAAAUAAACAAUCACUGACUUGAACUACUGUUACUACGGUUCGUUAUCGUUGUGGCACAAAUUCAUACAUAAGUCAUAUAGUCCAUAUACAAAGUCUUCCAUCUUGGGUAUUUUGACUUCACGACCGGACCAUGUUCGACUAGUUGGUGUAGCAGACCGCACUGGGGUUGUGGAGCCAUGAAAGGGAUUGGAUCCUGCCGGACUAUCAGACUCCAGUAUGGAGAGAGUUCAGUAGGCAAAUGGUUCUUGUCAUCUGGCCAAUCUUGGGUGAUGACAAUUCUGACAUUUUGCAAGGUUUCAUCCUUGUCUGUUUCAUUCUUCAAACUGCGAAGUCGCGCAUCACCAAUGGGUAAAAAGCUUGCCAUAUUGACGGUCUCAAACUCGCUCUGGUUGUUCUGCGAGUUCUUCAGGUAGGCUCUGGAGAGAGUAUCAGCAAGAAGCAUGUCCUUGCCUCUCUUGUACCGAACUGUGACAUCAUACCCUGGAUCCGCAGCAUCAUGCCUUGGAGUCUGCGUGGCGCUGACGACAGCGGUUUGUUCAUGAUUGCUUCCAGCGGCUUGUGGUCACUUUCUAUGUUUACAUGGCGACCAAAAGCAUAUUGAUGGAACCUGUCCAGGGCAAAAACUAUUGCUAGAGUUUCUUUCUCAAUCUGUGAAUAUCUGGUUUCAGUUUCAGUCAUUGAGCGGCUUGUAUAGGCGAUUGGCUUUCCAUUUUGCAUGAGAACAGCGCCCAAACCAUUCUUGCUCCCAUCACACUGAAUGGUAAGUUCUGUCGCGUUCCACCCCCAGCGUCGCUGGAAGCAUGCGCACAGCCGCUCACACAGCCGGCCAGACACGCACAGACACUCGGCCGGAGGCAGUCAGCGACUUACCUCUCGAACCCGUGCACGGCACAAACCAUGACAAAAAACAGGGAAGACGAUACAAGCACGCAGUUUAAUAAAAAUAUAAACACGAAUACACGUACACACACACACCCCCCCCCCCCCCCCCCCAUAAAAACCAGAUAAAAAAUACACCUACGAGUACUCGUCAAAAAAACUGGGGACUGCCUCCCCGCAAAGAAAGUUACAAAUAAUAUUCACACACAGCAGAAAGAGAAAAAAAAAA